rnacentral:lncRNA from 1 species
UAGAUGCUCCCAUUGACUAGAGACCUCCCUGCCCAGUCUUCUCUCCAUCACAAAUUCAGCUGCUGAAUGGAUGGACUUCUACGGGUCAGAACUGAAGCUUGGGAUAGAGGUCAGUAGGUGUAGUCUCAAAUGUCGUAAGCCUGUCCACAAGUAAGUUGUAAUAGGUCAGAACAACGUCCUCUUUCCAAGUCCUGUCUGCUUCAUUUACAUCUUGGGUUGUAUAAAAGUAUCUGUACCCUAAUGUAUUUUCAC